rnacentral:rRNA from 1 species
UUGGCCUUUGACAUACUAAGAACUUUUCCAGAGAUUGGAUUGGUGCCUUUCGGGAACUUUAGAUACAGGUGCUGCAUGGCUGUCGUCAGCUCGUGUCGUGAGAUGUUGGGUUAAGUCCCGCAACGAGCGCAACCCUUUUUCCUUAUUUUGCCAGCGGGUCAUGCCGGGAACUUUAAGGAUACUGCCAGUGACAAACUGGAGGAAGGCGGGGACGACGUCAAGUCAUCAUGGCCCUUACGGCCGGGGCUACACACGUGCUACAAUGGUCGGUACAAAGGGUUGCUACCUCGCGAGAGGAUGCUAAUCUCAAAAAGCCGAUCGUAGUCCGGAUCGCAGUCUGCAACUCGACUGCGUGAAGUCGGAAUCGCUAGUAAUCGCGGAUCAGAAUGCCGCGGUGAAUACGUUCCCGGGCCUUGUACACACCGCCCGUCACACCAUGGGAGUUUGUUGCACCAGAAGUAGGUAGUCUAACCGCAAGGAGGACGCUUACCACGGUGUGGCCGAUGACUGGGGUGAAGUCGUAACAAGGUAGGCGUAGAUGA